CUACAGGCUUAACACAUGCAAGUCGAGGGGCAGCAUGGUCUUAGUUUGCUAAGGCCGAUGGCGACCGGCGCACGGGUGAGUAACACGUAUCCAACCUGCCGUCUACUCUUGGACAGCCUUCUGAAAGGAAGAUUAAUACAAGAUGGCAUCAUGAGUCCGCAUGUUCACAUGAUUAAAGGUAUUCCGGUAGACGAUGGGGAUGCGUUCCAUUAGAUAGUAGGCGGGGUAACGGCCCACCUAGUCUUCGAUGGAUAGGGGUUCUGAGAGGAAGGUCCCCCACAUUGGAACUGAGACACGGUCCAAACUCCUACGGGAGGCAGCAGUGAGGAAUAUUGGUCAAUGGGCGAGAGCCUGAACCAGCCAAGUAGCGUGAAGGAUGACUGCCCUAUGGGUUGUAAACUUCUUUUAUAAAGGAAUAAAGUCGGGUAUGCAUACCCGUUUGCAUGUACUUUAUGAAUAAGGAUCGGCUAACUCCGUGCCAGCAGCCGCGGUAAUACGGAGGAUCCGAGCGUUAUCCGGAUUUAUUGGGUUUAAAGGGAGCGUAGAUGGAUGUUUAAGUCAGUUGUGAAAGUUUGCGGCUCAACCGUAAAAUUGCAGUUGAUACUGGAUAUCUUGAGUGCAGUUGAGGCAGGCGGAAUUCGUGGUGUAGCGGUGAAAUGCUUAGAUAUCACGAAGAACUCCGAUUGCGAAGGCAGCCUGCUAAGCUGCAACUGACAUUGAGGCUCGAAAGUGUGGGUAUCAAACAGGAUUAGAUACCCUGGUAGUCCACACGGUAAACGAUGAAUACUCGCUGUUUGCGAUAUACUGCAAGCGGCCAAGCGAAAGCGUUAAGUAUUCCACCUGGGGAGUACGCCGGCAACGGUGAAACUCAAAGGAAUUGACGGGGGCCCGCACAAGCGGAGGAACAUGUGGUUUAAUUCGAUGAUACGCGAGGAACCUUACCCGGGCUUAAAUUGCAGAUGAAUUACGGUGAAAGCCGUAAGCCGCAAGGCAUCUGUGAAGGUGCUGCAUGGUUGUCGUCAGCUCGUGCCGUGAGGUGUCGGCUUAAGUGCCAUAACGAGCGCAACCCUUGUUGUCAGUUACUAACAGGUUCCGCUGAGGACUCUGACAAGACUGCCAUCGUAAGAUGUGAGGAAGGUGGGGAUGACGUCAAAUCAGCACGGCCCUUACGUCCGGGGCUACACACGUGUUACAAUGGGGGGUACAGAGGGCCGCUACCACGCGAGUGGAUGCCAAUCCCCAAAACCUCUCUCAGUUCGGACUGGAGUCUGCAACCCGACUCCACGAAGCUGGAUUCGCUAGUAAUCGCGCAUCAGCCACGGCGCGGUGAAUACGUUCCCGGGCCUUGUACACACCGCCCGUCAAGCCAUGGGAGCCGGGGGUACCUGAAGUGCGUAACCGCGAGGAGCGCCCUAGGGUAAAACUGGUGACUGGGGCUAAGUCAUAA
rnacentral:rRNA from 1 species